GUAUAUAUGCCAGGUGGGAAAGCAGUGUGGUGGGUUAAAGAGAGGGGAUUAGGUUGGGUGUGUUACCGCAACCACUGGAAUCUGUGACACCUGUGAAACUUGUUUUGUUGUCCACCUGCGGAACUGUUUUUGUGGUCCACCUGCCUGCUACCUGUUGGUCUUUCACCACCUCAAACCCUUCCAGUCUCUCACCGAGGUAGCCUGAGAUGAUGGUGACGGGUAUCUGCUCUGCAGGAGGACCAGGCGGGGUGUCGAUGGGCACCAGCUCUGGGCAGUCAUCUUCCUCCUCCAUCACCAGGCCAUCCAUACCAGGAAUGAUGUGUUGUCACAAGCUGGAUCUGAUUAAUCAGUACGAAUACUGAAACGUGCGACGCUUUAAAAGGCUCCGUUUCAAAAUCCUGACUCGGCGACAAAUGGUUCCGCUUUGGUUCAUAGCAAGUCGGGACAGAAAGGCUGCCGGACCGGAAGAAGAUGACAAGUAUCAACCACAAGAGGGCGACAGAAACCAGUUUAUGGCAGAGAUGCUAUAAGGGGAAUGAUAUGGAAAUAAUGGAUAUUAUAGUAAUAUUAUUGUGUCAUAGUACAGGGAAAAAAGUAAUCUGUGUCAGUGAGCUCCUUUAAAUUCUUGGACAGCCUUUCCUGAUUAUAUUUUUAUUUAUUUAUUAUUUAUUUUAUUUUAUUUCAUUUAUUUCAUUUUGUUUUAUUUAUUUUAUUAUUUUAAAUAAUGUUUUAUUUUAUGACAUGUAUGUUUUAUUUUGCAGCCCUUGUGAAGCCCUUUGUAAAUUGAGUUUUAAAAAAUGCUCUAUAAGAUUAUUAUUAUUAUUAUUAUUAUUAUUAUUAUUAUUAUUACUACAACUUAAACUAUAAACCCAAUGUUUAUUACCACUGACCUGCAGUUAUCCCUUUUUAAAGGAACUUGAUAUAGUACAGGGCACAAAAAAGUAAAGUACAAAUAAUUACUCACUCGCAGACAAUAAUAAUGCAAUAAUAAAUUAUAUCAAAAUAUG